CAGCACCUCAAGUGGUCAGGAUGAUUAUUGGGCCUAAAGCAUCCGUAGCCGGCUCUGUAAGUUUUCGGUUAAAUCUGUACGCUCAACGUACAGGCUGCCGGGAAUACUGCAGAGCUAGGGAGUGGGAGAGGUAGACGGUACUCGGUAGGAAGGGGUAAAAUCCUUUGAUCUAUUGAUGACCACCUGUAGCGAAGGCGGUCUACCAGAACACGUCCGACGGUGAGGGAUGAAAGCUGGGGGAGCAAACCGGAUUAGAGACCCGAGUAGUCC
rnacentral:rRNA from 1 species